rnacentral:lncRNA from 1 species
CAUGAAUGUAAGAUAUUUUGAUCAUGUUCUCCCAGCAUCCCCUUCUUUUAUUUACUUCUCACUCCCAACAGUUCUGUCUUUCCACUCUCAUAUCCUUUUUUCUUACUCUUCUCUCAUAUAUAACAUCUCAGCCAUAGUUUCCCCUUCCUCUUCUCCUCCCAGUCCCUCCAUCCCACCUCCCUUCUCCUUCAGAUCCACCACUCCUAGAAAGCAUCAGAUUGUCUUCCAAGCAGCAAGGAUGAGGGUCUCAAAGCCCACCCCUACACUUCCUCCAACAAGGCCAUGCCUAAUAGUGGCUGCCACUCCCUGGGCCAAGCAUCUUCAAACCACCACACCUUGUAAUAUGAAGGUGUUCCUGUGUGGAUGAGUUUAUUUUGUCAACUCUUCUUUUUCUCAGCAACUACUAACUAACACAAACCAUAGAUACUUGUCCUUAAAGCUUUGAGACUGUCUACCAUCAGCACUUGUAAGUCUCCCAGACCUUUUGAGCUCAUUUCCAUGUAUGGGGUAAAGAGGGAGUCUAGCCAGGCAGCUGAUCGUCCUAAAGCCACUUGUGGGGAGAAUCUUAUUACCUCGUGGUGUUGUUGUGACAAAAUUUUCUUUCGUUUUGUUUGAAGGUUACAGUGGAUUGAAUUAUAAACAACGUCAUGGGGCAAGAUUUCAUUUUAUGAUGACAGUGAUCUUUGUUGCUCUAAAUGCCAGUCUGACAGGAACUUACGGAUCCUCAGCUCUUCAGGUCUUUGCACCUCCCAACUUCUGCCUCUGCAGACCUUUGACCCCUGGGUUCAGUGCUACGGGUGCUUUCUCUUCUGCAGCUGGUCAGAUGGCCCCAGGGCACCCAGAGAAUGCACCGGAAACCCAGGAGUUGGACAGCAGCUUCCCCCAGCACAGAGCCAAGCAGAGGCUGACUCUGACCUGAAGUCUGCGCCCCUUUCAGCACUCUGGGAGCUAUUACCACCUGUCCAUCAGCGGCAUCAAGGAGCCAGGAGUGAUGACCUGGACAGUUCAGACUGUGGGAAGAGGUCCGCGCUUUGAUGUGAGCCACAAGGAAGAAAAGCCAAGAAGGGAAGAAAGCUUAUAGGGCGUGUGAUCUGAGUGGAGUCUGGCUUUCCUCACUCACCAGGACCUGAAAAUGAGCAGAAAUUGGAUUUCAGUAUUUGGCAUCCCUUACCUGUUCAGAACGUUCUAAAUGUACUAGCUUGCCUAAGGCUCUCAAUAACAGCUGUGCAAGGAAUAUACUAUUUCAUUGAGGGGAAACACAAAGCCCAAGAGGGGCCAAAUGGUGUCUUAAAGCCACGUCUGUAUGCAGCAGAACCAGAUCCCAGCUUGUCACUGGCUAUGCAGAGCCCUGAGCAAACAUGGAGGUGUGUGGCCAGAGCAGGAAAGAGCAUCAUAUCUAUCAUGGCAACAAGCCAGUCAUGUCUCUAUGUCCAUACUGCUGCUAGCUGGCUGUGCCACAGUCUCUCUUGGCCUCAAGGUCCUUGUCCAUCAAACAGGAAGAUGAGACAGAGGCUAUGAUUUGUGUCUCUGGAUAAUGAAAUCCCUGAGGUCUCUUUUAUUUCCAAGACCAUAAGUUUGGUAGUUAAAAUUAUUUAUUUAGGAGAAGGAAUAACACCUUCAGCUAUUUGCCUGGAGUUCAUAAUUCCAGCAUCUCAGAGAACAGAACUGAACUUGAUAUUCAAACUCAGCUUAGAAUCCUGACUGCUUGUAUGUUUGGUUUCUAAGGUGGGCCCCACAUACAAGGUCCUGGCCAUUCUAGGCCAUUACUGGAUGCCCCUCCAUUUGCAGCACUGUGGAUGACACUCAGGGUUGUUACAACAAAAUGUCAUAGCAUGUGAUGUGUGCCAUAUCUGUGAGAUCUCAUUAAAG